rnacentral:rRNA from 1 species
CGGGCAUUCGCAGCUACCAUGCAGUCGAGGGGUAUAGAGAGCUUGCUUUCUAGAGACCGGCGGAUGGGUGAGUAACGCGUAUGCAACCUACCUUUUACAGGGGAAUAGCCCGGAGAAAUUCGGAUUAAUGCUCCAUGGUUUAUAUGAAUGGCAUCGUUUAUAUAAUAAAGAUUUAUCCGGUAAAAGAUGGGCAUGCGUAUCAUUAGCUUAGUUGGUGUGGUAACGGCAUACCAAGGCUUACGAUGAUUAGGGGUCCUGAGAGGGAGAUCCCCCACACUGGUACUGAGACACGGACCAGACUCCUACGGGAGGCAGCAGUGAGGAAUAUUGGUCAAUGGAGGCAACUCUGAACCAGCCAUGCCGCGUGCAGGAUGACGGUCCUAUGGAUUGUAAACUGCUUUUGUACGGGAAGAAAUGUAAUUACGUGUAAUUAUUUGACGGUACCGUAAGAAUAAGGAUCGGCUAACUCCGUGCCAGCAGCCGCGGUAAUACGGAGGAUCCGAGCGUUAUCCGGAAUUAUUGGGUUUAAAGGGUUCGUAGGCGGUUGAGUAAGUCAGUGGUGAAAUCUUAUAGCUUAACUAUAAAAUUGCCGUUGAUACUGCUUGACUUGAAUAGUAUGGAAGUAAUUAGAAUAUGUAGUGUAGCGGUGAAAUGCUUAGAUAUUACAUGGAAUACCAAUUGCGAAGGCAGAUUACUACGUACUUAUUGACGCUGAUGAACGAAAGCGUGGGUAGCGAACAGGAUUAGAUACCCUGGUAGUCCACGCCGUAAACGAUGGAUACUAGCUGUUCGGUUUUCGGACUGAGUGGCUAAGCGAAAGUGAUAAGUAUCCCACCUGGGGGAGUACGUUCGCAAGAAUGAAAACUCAAAGGAAUUGACGGGGGGCCCGCACAAGCGGUGGAAGCAUGUGGGUUUAAUUCGAUGAUACGCGGAGAAACCUUACCAAGGGCUUAAAUGUAGAUUGGACAGGUUUAGAAGAUAGACUUUUUCUUCGGACAAUUUUACAAGGUGCUGCAUGGGUUGUCGUCAGCCUCGUGCCCGUGAAGGUGUCAAGGUUAAGUCCCUAUAACGAAGCGCAACCCCCUAUUGGUUAGUUUGCCCAGCGGGGUCAAGGCCGGGGAACUCCUAACAAGAACUGGCCGGGUGCCAAACCCGUGAAGGAAAGGUGGGGGAAUGAACGUUCAAACAUCACUUCCCUUACGUCUUGGGCUACACACGUGCUACAAUGGCCAGUACAGAAAGCAGCUACCAGGCAACUGGAUGCGAAUCUCAAAAACUGGUCUCAGUUCGGAUUGGAGUCUGCAACUCGACUCCAUGAAGCUGGAAUCGCUAGUAAUCGGAUAUCAGCCAUGAUCCGGUGAAUACGUUCCCGGGCCUUGUACACACCGCCCGUCAAGCCAUGGAAGCCGGGGGUACCUGAAGUCGGUCGCCGCAAGGAGCUGCUAGUAAAACGGAAUGGGU